AUCUAGCUGACGAGCCCCGAAUAGGACGAAAUAGGCGUCCUGGAU
rnacentral:hammerhead_ribozyme from 1 species